GCUCAAAUGCUUAGAUUGUUGCCUGAUUCAUCAAUCAUUCAACUAUGCAUCAAAUUUAAAUUAGUUGGGUUGGCUAUGUGAAUCCUUUAUGUCCUCUGCCUGGAUCUAUUUCCUUCCAGUAUUGACAAAUAAUUGCUUGUAAGGCACAUAAAAAUUCCUUCAGAACAAGAAAUUAUCUAAACCUAACUCUUUUUUCUACCCUUACAUAUGAGUAUCCAUCUAGACAAAAAGACUUCUACCAAAGAUGAGAUCUUAUGCAAGUUACACCUGCAACAAAACUUCAAUCGUAACCUGUUGGUACAUAUAGGUCCUUUGCUUCUAUUGUAUUCUUUACUUUGUUAAGCAUGCACCUAUUUUGAGAUUUUAAGUUAUUUGAGACAAUUUUCCUUCAUGUGGUUUUAGGUCUACAUCGUUCCUUUUUUUAAUCAUCAUAAAAGUAUCCCACCUACAAGCAUGGUGCAUUUAGAGGUCUAUGUAGGAUAUAGCCAAACCAUCUUAGUUUACCUUUUCUCAUAUCUUCUAUGUGUUUUAUUUAAAGCCUCUGUGAUUAUUUCUAAUAUUGUCUAAUUCUUUAUGAUCGUGUAGCCAUCACUCAAGACUAGUGGAGUGAUGGUGGCAUUACAAAUUUUUGAAAUGUGUUAUGUAGUCUCUUUUUAUACAAGUCCAGAUUAAAGAUCUGUUGAUAUAUGGUUCCUGUUUAUCUUUGGAAGUACAGCUGAGGGGCUAGCCUUUGGUAAUAGUGUCUAUUGGAUACGUUUUGAUGAAGAGUUUUCAGAGAAGAAAUUUAAAUCUUCAAAUCCUUUUGGCAUCAAAUACAAGUUCCAUCUGGAGGAUGCUGUUGAUUGUCCUGAGUGGAUUGUUCCUUUCCCCGUCUUCAAGGCAAUGGCUGAAGAGUAUGACUUCGAGCUAGUUUUUGUGAAGAACAACCAUGAGUUUGUGGAUGAGUACAUGAAGAAACCAGAGUUCAUUGAGCUAAUGAG